AGAGGAGGUUAUCACAUGAUAAAAUUUCUUUCUCUAUAUCAUUCUAUUUUAUGUAUGUGUGUUUGUAUGUAUGUGUAUAGUGUGUGUGUGUGUGUGUGUGUGUGUGUGUGUGUGUGUAGAUAGUGUCUUUCACUUGCUUGAUGUUUCAACUAGGCUAGCCUUUAUCUGUCUCUGGCCACCAACUAUAUAGGUACAAGUGUUCCCAGUUUUAUGUGGAGGCUACAGUUUGAACUUAGGUUGUCUUGCUUGCAUAGCAAGUGCUCCUGUUCAUGGAUCCCUCCACCCAGUCUAUCCAUCUCCUCUUACCCAAGGUUGAACUUUCUGUUGUUCACCUCUCAUAUUCAACUGUAGUUCUGAGACAUUAGUGACAUAUUCUAGAAAUCAAGAAAUGAUGUGCCACCCACUCAGACCAGCAGUCAUCUUUGUGUCUAGAACACCUUUGUGCCUUGUGUAUCAUGUAUACUCAUUUAAAUAGUCAUCUCAGCUACAUGACUCUCAUUGUAUCACACUGUUGAUGUUUCAGUAACCUGAGUAUAGUAGCUCAUCACCUUAUCCCAGUCCUUAGACCUCACCUUGUCACAAGAACAGGGAUGGAUACAGAAAAUAAGAAAUUAAGAAAGACAGAAUAAGACACAUCAACAUAACUUUUAUUGCAAUAUGUUAUUAUAGUUGUUUUUACUUAUAUUUAUCUGUUAUUGUAAAUCUCCUAACAUGCCUAGUAUAUAAACUAAACUUUAUCAUGGAAAAAUAUGUGGAGUUAAGCUCAUAUACGGAGUAGAGGCAGUGGCAACUGUGUUUUGUGGCUCCUUGAAUUUUGGUGAUCAUUACUGUUUUAAAUAUGUUACCUGAAAUUUG
rnacentral:lncRNA from 1 species